CACGUAGGGUGCGAGCGUUGUCCGGAAUUAUUGGGCGUAAAGAGCUCGUAGGCGGUGUGUCGCGUCGGCCGUGAAAACCUGCAGCUUAACUGUGGGCUUGCGGUCGAUACGGGCAUCACUGGAGUUCGGCAGGGGAGACUGGAAUUCCUGGUGUAGCGGUGAAAUGCGCAGAUAUCAGGGAGGAACACCGGUGGCGAAGGCGGGUCUCUGGGCCGAGUACUGAC
rnacentral:rRNA from 1 species